rnacentral:lncRNA from 1 species
GCUGAUUUUCCCUGUGGCCAAAUCGGAGCCAAAAUCCUGGCCACAUGGCCGAAACCCAGCGGCGCCGCCGUACCCCUCCUCGGUUUUUGCCUCCGAUGAGGCCAUUCCCGGCCUCCGUUUGAUGCAAUUUUUAUAUCACCGUGAUCACCAUUCUUUUCUCUACAGGUUGAUCGGAGCCGAAUCACCAAAACACGAACCUCACUGGAGAGCCGCCGCACCCGAGAACACUGCCGCCGGUAAGCUUCGGUUUUCCGUAAUUUUUUUGCCCCCCGAGGGCCCUAGAGUUGUUUUAUCGUAGGGACCGAUGCAAGUGUGGCCGAAUUCGGCCGAAAACGGCCAACCAGAGGCGAAUCGCCGUCGCCGGAGCACG